AUGGACCUCAAAGUCCCUGUUCAGCCCCUCAGCCUCCUGCUGCUCUCGCUCCCAGAUACCAGAAGUGACAACCAGAUUACAGAGUCUCCACCCUCCCUGUUUGCAUAUCUAGGAGAGACAGUCACCAUCACUUGCCAGGCAAAUCAGGGCAUUAGUAGUGCAUUACAUUGGUAUCAACAGAAGCCAGGGAAAACUCCUAAACUCAUAAUCUAUGGGGUAUCAUCUUUAGAAUCUGGGUCCCCUCACAGUUCAGAAGCAGUGGGUCUGGGGCAGACUUCACUCUCACCAUCAGCAACCUGGAGGCUGAGGAUGUUGGAACUUAUUACUGUCAAUAG